AUUGAACGCUGGCGGCAGGCCUAACACAUGCAAGUCGAGCGGAUGAAGGGAGCUUGCUCCUGGAUUCAGCGGCGGACGGGUGAGUAAUGCCUAGGAAUCUGCCUGGUAGUGGGGGAUAACGUCCGGAAACGGGCGCUAAUACCGCAUACGUCCUGAGGGAGAAAGUGGGGGAUCUUCGGACCUCACGCUAUCAGAUGAGCAUAGGUCGGAUUAGCUAGUUGGUGGGGUAAAGGCAUACCAAGGCGACGAUCCGUAACUGGUCUGAGAGGAUGAGCAGUCACAGUGGAACUGAGACACGGUCCAGACUCAUACGAGAGGCCGCAGUGGGGAAUAGUGCAAAAGGGGCGAACGUCUGAUACAGACAUGCCGCGUGUGAAGAAGGUCUUCGGAUUGUAAAGCACUUUAAGUUGGGAGGAAGGGCAGUAAGUUAAUACCUUGCUGUUUUGACGUUACCAACAGAAUAAGCACCGGCUAACUUCGUG
rnacentral:rRNA from 1 species